GGAGGGGUGGCAGAGCUGGUAAUGCAGCGCGCCGCGUCAGCGGCCGCUACGCGGGGCUGCGUCUCGCGUCAGGGGUUCGAGUCCUCUCCCCUCCG
rnacentral:tRNA from 1 species